rnacentral:rRNA from 1 species
UACGUAGGGUGCAGGCGUUGUCCGGAAUUAUUGGGCGUAAAGAGCUUGUAGGCGGUCUGUCGCGUCUGCUGUGAAAAUCCGGGGCUCAACCCCGGACUUGCAGUGGGUACGGGCAGACUAGAGUGUGGUAGGGGAGACUGGAAUUCCUGGUGUAGCGGUGAAAUGCGCAGAUAUCAGGAGGAACACCGAUGGCGAAGGCAGGUCUCUGGGCCACUACUGACGCUCAUGCACGAAAGCGUGGGGAGCAAACAGG